rnacentral:lncRNA from 1 species
GGCAAAGCUUUUUAUUUUUUUUUUGUUUUUUCGAUCUGAGUUUUUUUGUGAGACUUCUUGACACUGUUUCAAACCCUAUUUUAAAGUUUGGGAGAAGUUUGAGUUUUUUUGCUAUAUUUGACUGAUUUAAUUUGUUUCUUUGUGUUUUUCGGAUAAUUCAAACUUGAACUACACGUACAUGAAAUAUCGCAACACAGUGUUUGAAAAAAUGAUAUUCAUGGUAUUAUGUAUAUUCUGAGUCUGUAUCUAGGACCUCACACGAAAUCUCGACCAGCUCGCUGAGGUAACACAUCGAGUUACAUGCACGAAAAGUGUAUUAAAAUUAUAUAAAAUCCAAAGGAAGUCCGAAAAUCGUAAAACUUGACGGGGCGUCGUGUUAUCGCAUGUGGAACCUAUGGUUAAAAUUUGAGAAGAUUUGAAGCAAGUUGCAGCGUCGAAUGUCUAAAAUCCAGACAUCUCCACAUGGUCCGUGGUCAGUUGGCGCUCCUCCGCCUCAGACACACGGGUGGUCGCCGUGGUCAAGUGGCGCGCCUCAGCACCCAGCAGGUUGGCCGCACCAGGGGUGGCCAGGUGAGGGCUCUUCCUAGGGACACGGGGACGCCGGGUCGCAGCCGGACCAGUGAUAUGGACAUGUUAUGCUUGUGAUGGAUAUGUUAGGCGGAUUUGAUCACUUUGUAUAUGCGGAUUUGUGACAGGAUGAAUACCAACUAUUCUGUAUGUGGAUUUGUGACCAUUGAUGGAUGCAUGUGUCGAUUUGUGAUUAUAUAUGUUAUGCAGGUUCUAUUACAUAUGUUAUGUAUGUUGUCUAUUGUGAAUUGAGUGAAAAAACAGCAAAAACUG